rnacentral:rRNA from 1 species
GGAAUUGUUCGCAAUGGGCGCAAGCCUGACGACGCAACGCCGCGUGGAGGAUGAAGAUCUUCGGGUCGUAAACUCCUGUCGAGCGGGAAGAACGUUUCGCGGAUGAAUCAGCAGCGAAAUGGACGGUACCGCUAGAGGAAGCCCCGGCUACCUCCGUUCCAGCAGCCGCGGUAAUACGGGGGGGGCAAGCGUUGUUCGGAAUUACUGGGCGUAAAGGGCUCGUAGGUGGCCAACUAAGUCAGACGUGAAAUCCCCAGGCUUAACCUGGGAACUGCGUCUGAUACUGGAUGGCUUGAAUUCGGGAGAGGGAUGCAGAAUUCCAGGUGUAGCGGUGAAAUGCGUAGAUAUCUGGAGGAAUACCGGUGGCGAAGGCGGCAUCCUGGACCGAGAUUGACACUGAGGAGCGAAAGCCAGGGGAGCAAA